rfam:Brassica napus, WGS project CCCW01000000 data, contig: 2639
GAGAAAGAGAACUGUCUGAAUAGCCGAGGAGACUGCCUACCGAUUAACCAAUUCAUCGAAGACUAUCAAUCUUUUAGUCUUUGAUAGAUAUGGUCUAAGACGCAGGCAAGUCAUCCUUGGCUACCACACAACUUCUCAUUCU